rfam:Heterocephalus glaber contig57827, whole genome shotgun sequence.
AAAUAGGCCUUAAAGGCCACCAAAUGUAUACACAAAAAUAUUU